rnacentral:rRNA from 1 species
GAAACGACUGCUAAGACUGGAUAGGAGACAAGAAGGCAUCUUCUUAUUUUUAAAAGACCUAGCAAUAGGUAUGCUUAGGGAGGAGCUUGCGUCACAUUAGUUAGUUGGUGGGGUAAAGGCCUACCAAGACUAUGAUGUGUAGCCGGGCUGAGAGGUUGAACGGCCACAUUGGGACUGAGACACGGCCCAAACUCCUACGGGAGGCAGCAGUAGGGAAUUUUCGGCAAUGGAGGAAACUCUGACCGAGCAACGCCGCGUGAACGAUGAAGUAUUUCGGUAUGUAAAGUUCUUUUAUUAGGGAAGAAUAAAUGAUGGAAAAAUCAUUCUGACUGUACCUAAUGAAUAAGCCCCGGCUAACUAUGUGCCAGCAGCCGCGGUAAUACAUAGGGGGCAAGCGUUAUCCGGAAUUAUUGGGCGUAAAGGGUGCGUAGGCGGUUAAAUAAGUUUAUGGUCUAAGUUCAAUGCUCAACAUUGUGAUGCUAUAAAAACUGUUUAGCUAGAGUAAGAUAGAGGCAAGUGGAAUUCCAUGUGUAGUGGUAAAAUGCGUAAAUAUAUGGAGGAACACCAGUAGCGAAGGCGGCUUGCUGGGUCUUUACUGACGCUGAGGCACGAAAGCGUGGGGAGCAAACAGGAUUAGAUACCCUGGUAGUCCACGCUGUAAACGAUGAGUACUAAACGUUGGGUAAAACCAGUGUUGAAGUUAACACAUUAAGUACUCCGCCUGAGUAGUACGUACGCAAGUAUGAAACUUAAAGGAAUUGACGGGACUCCGCACAAGCGGUGGAUCAUGUUGUUUAAUUCGAAGGUACCCGAAAAACCUCACCAGGUCUUGACAUGCUUCUGCAAAGUUGUAGAAAUACAGUGGAGGUUAUCAGUUGCACAGGUGGUGCAUGGUUGUCGUCAGCUCGUGUCGUGAGAUGUUGGGUUAAGUCCCGCAACGAGCGCAACCCUUAUUGUUAGUUACCAGCACGUAAUGGUGGGGACUUUAGCAAGACUGCCAGUGAUAAAUUGGAGGAAGGUGGGGACGACGUCAAAUCAUCAUGCCCCUUAUGACCUGGGCUACAAACGUGAUACAAUGGCUGUUACAAAGGGUAGCUGAAACGCAAGUUUUUGGCGAAUCUCAAAAAAACAGUCUCAGUUCGGAUUGAAGUCUGCAACUCGACUUCAUGAAGUUGGAAUCGCUAGUAAUCGCGAAUCAGCAUGUCGCGGUGAAUACGUUCUCGGGGUUUGUACACACCGCCCGUCA